GUAGGUUUCUGCAUCAGGAUCCCUCGACCCUCUGAUUGUGACACAGAUGCACAACAGUCUGAGUGCAACAGUUUCUUCUAGUUUAUCCAGCAGACCAUCAUCACCAGUUACCGCAUCCACUGGGAAUGUCCACACCUCACUGAGCAGUCAGACUGGGCUCAGCACCACUCCAAGCUCACGUUUCUGGUGGAAUGGUACCUCAUUCUUGCACUGAGGAUUGAACAUUCUGACUCCAUCUCAUCAGGACCCUUUUUUUAUUUAUUUUUAGCCUUCGACUUUCUACCAUGUCCAGUGUCCAGUCAUUCAGUGAGGAAUGUUUGGACCAAACCUACACACAACAAACCAUCUUUUAUACCAGAGUUUUAGAAAGAGUUUUAUGAAGAGAAGGCAAAGCAAUUAGUGCUAAUUCUCCACUGGAUUCAUCAAUGUGCUGUCUUUUUCCUGAUCCAAUCCAAUGGACUAUCAAAACUGUCACCAUCUGCUAUUAUUAUCUAGUAACAAUUUUUUGUAUGGGCCUAAACCUGCAUUUCAUGUAACAUUAGGAAGUGUUUAAGGAACUCCAACUAAAUGAGAUGAACUCCAUUUUACUUAAAUUAGGAUUUAAUAUUGUAUGCAUCACUGCCUUUGCCUUUGUAUUUGAUGUGAUUGGUUUAGCUCCAUCUGUGCUAAUAAAGUACACCAGGGAGGACAGUGAUCACAGAAUAAAUGAAUUAAGUUUGAAAAUUGGGUCUAGGGUUUUUAUGUUAAACCUAGAUCUUUGAAUUCUAUAUAAAGCUAAAUAUUAAUUAUCAAAUAGUCUCAGCAUAAGGAACCCUCUCACCAUUAUAAACACGAAGGAUUCUGCUUACCUUCCGAGGCUGUAAUCACAGCAGUUAAUGUCCCAUCCAGGCUGUAUCCACCUCUUUCCCUCUGGCCUAGACAGUUGCCCUAGAAUUAUCAUGUGCCACUGUUUCCUAGCCCGUAGAACAUGUAAUAAACUAGUAGCAUCAUGAGGGUGGAUGAAAUUCUUCUAAUCAUUUAUCUAACCCCUACAAGAUAAAACCACAGCUAUUAUCCUGGCUUUGAUUUGCAAGGUCUGCUUGUUGAAUUUAUUCCACUGCAUGUUGUGUUAUCCACUUUGACUGACUUUUUAAAUUGAAAUUGUUGGAAAUAUUCCCCAGUUCUACAUUUUUUUUUUGUUUUUCUUUUAGAAAAGUAAAUAUUAGAUUUACCUGACUCAUUUAAUUGUGUUUUUAAAAAAGACUCUUCUGUUCCUGCUGCAAUCACAUCAAUGCUCAAUUUUAAAAAUAUAUGUAUUGCUACAGUGUCCACCUAGUGAAAGUGAUUAUAUUUAUCAUGACUAGGUCUUUUUGAAGUGUUUCUGCAUCCUUUGAAUCUUGUUCUUUAUGAAGUGGCCUUUUUCAAUAAAUGUGUAUAUCUUAUAUGAAGUUAUUACUUGCUUUCAGGAAGUGAAGAAUUACCGAUGGUGUAUGGUACAAUAGCAUGUACCAUGAAUAAUUGUUUCAUUUAUGCCAUUUUUAUGUUCUGUGGUUGAGGAUAGUUGUAAAUAGAUGAACUUGAUUGGGGAAACACAUUAUUACUCAACAAAUCCUGUGCCACAGAGAUGUACCACUCUGAAAUAGAAUGCAAGCAAAACAAAAAUCAGUUCCCAAACUUGUUACAAUGGGGUCCACAGAGGCAACAAUCCUCUUUUCAAUGGUAACAGGGAUGGGGUCAGGAGUGUGGGAGAAACAUGGGGUUUUAUUUCCACUCCCUCCUUUCAAACUUUAGGAAGUCCUGCCUUUCCUUCACUGCCUGGAUAGUUAGGGACUGAAGGGAGUAGGCUGUUAGACAGUUCCUCUCUGGCCAUAAAAUGGGAGAAUGUUACUGCUUUAGCCAGUGAUGGAUUUGGUUUCUCCAAGUGCAGCUAUCAUUGCAUUGGUGUCAUUUCUAAAUCACUCACCAAUCCGUGCUAUGAACUUUGAAGCACAGUAGAAAUUAGGCCAGUGGGCUGAACAGAUUUUAAAAACAAAAGCAAAUUGAAAUGCUCCUGGAUCCUGGAACAGGUUGGGUCAAGUCUCAGAAACAAAACCAGUCCUGAGUGCCUGAAGUUUCGGAUGAUCUGUGAUAGUGAGGGGAGUGGAAAUAACCAGAAUUGAGUGUGCACCAGAGUGUGGCCUAUUUUCAGGGGAAGGGUUUAUGCGGCAGCUUCACCAACUGUAUAAUUAAUAAAAACCAUACUUAAUGGUUCAAAUACCAGUUUUCCAAUUCCUUCCAUAGUUUAAUUUAUUCUGUUAGGUGAUGUUUUGUUAAUAUUUAUGAGAUUGUAUGUCCUGGGAUCGGAACUCCUGACUGAAUUUUGUA